CCUACGGGGUGCUGCAGUGAGGAAUAUUGGUCAAUGGGCGGAAGCCUGAACCAGCCAAGUCGCGUGAGGGAAUAAGGCCCUACGGGUCGUAAACCUCUUUUGCCGGGGAGCAAGGGCGGGGACGUGUCCCGGCCCGGAGAGUACCCGGAGAAAAAGCAUCGCCUAACUCCGUGCCAGCAGCCGAGGUAAUACGGAGGAUGCGAGCGUUAUCCGGAUUGAUUGGGUUUAAAGGGUGCGUAGGCGGGCUUUUAAGUCCGCGGUAAAAAUUCGGGGCUCAACCCCGUACGGUCGUUGAACCUGGGAGUCUUGAGUGGGCGAGAGGAAGGCGGAAUGCGUGGUGUAGCGGUGAAAUGCAUAGAUAUCACGCAGAACCCCGAUUGCGAAGGCAGCCUUCCGGCGCCCUACUGACGCUGAGGCACGAAAGUGCGGGGAUCGAACAGGAUUAGAUACCCGAGUAGUC
rnacentral:rRNA from 1 species